AGGCUGUGUAUGAUGACAACAUAGUUCAGCAGAUAACUUGUGAUGAUCACUCUACUGGUCUUUCGCUCCUAUCUGAUGCAGCCU
ensembl:snoRNA